CCCUUAGAUGUUCUGGGCCGCACGCGCGCUACACUGACGAAUGCAACGAGCUUAUAACCUUGGCCGAAAGGUCUGGGUAAUCUCCAAAUUUCGUCGUGAUGGGGAUAGAUUAUUGCAAUUAUUAAUCUUCAACGAGGAAUGCCUAGUAAGCGCAAGUCAUCAGCUUGCGUUGAUUACGUCCCUGCCCUUUGUACACACCGCCCGUCGCUCCUACCGAUUGAAUGGUCCGGUGAAGCGCUCGGACCGCGGCCUCUUGACGGGUCUCCGUCGAUUGGCUGUGGGAAGUUCGUUAAACCUUNUNAUUUAUNGGAAGGAGAANUCGUANCA
rnacentral:rRNA from 1 species